UUAGUGUUGGGUCAUUUUUUGAGUAACCCAAACGCUGGGUUACCAGUCUGGUCCAAUUGAGUGACAGUUGAGAGAGUAAACCCCUCCCACUCCUCUACGCAUCAGACAAACUUUACCUUCGCGGGCAUUUUGAUCCACUUCAUCUCGGAAAGCUGUUAUUCGGAGAAUAAAAGUUGCAGAAUAACAGCUAAUAUUAAUGGAUCAUUCUAUUCAAGAAAAUGUCAACUGGAACUUGGAUGUUUUCAUAACAGGCUUAAAGAUGUACAAAUUGAUAAAGAAACCCUCCUGCUGGACAUCCACUUCCAAAAGUGCACACCACACUGUUGUCUACAACUCCCAGGAAAAGAAUCCUCUUCAGUAAGACUGCUCCGUGGAUAUUUUAGGUUAAGCAGUGCUGAAACCGAAAGAACUAACACUAUUUAAAAUGUUUUGUGAGUUUAUAUGAAGAGGAAAGUUACGGUGUCCCUUUUUCACAUCCAUAACGCUUGUUUAUUUCUUUUUUUAUAGAAAACUUGUGCAUAGACUUAUAUUUUAUCAUAUAAAUGCGGUUCUAUUAACAAGGGUUUAGUAAAAUACUUUUUAAAGUGUUUUGAAGUGUUAAGUUGUCUAACUGUUUAUAUUUA